GGAGACACCGCUCUUGGGGAAGUUGGGCUGCAGCCCCCGCACGUGCUAGGAAGAUAAGUGAAGGUCCCAACACAUCCUGUCCCCUUAGAGCCCCUGGGGCCCAGCAGCCGGGCCCAGCAGCCCGACCCAGCGCCUAGAGCCCAUUCGCAGACAGCGCGCUGAGGCGGCUUGGGCGCCAUGCCCUUUGGGUUACUCAGCUCUUCAGCCUCCUGGAACGCUAGGACAAAGGAGUGCCUUGGUGCUGGCAGAAGCCGGGGGGCACAGCUGGGUUUUACAAGGAAGGACGAAAUCUCAUCUCAGCAAUCGGGAUAGAUCAACCGUUGCCCGUCUGAGGUGACCCAAUUCAGGGACCAGCCGCUUGGCUCUGAACACACACGUGUCACAACCCCAGCUCGUACCCAGGCCUUGCUAGAGGUCCAGGUUUAUGAGCCGUAACUCAGCAGAAGCCUAGCAUGAGAACAACUCAUCUGAAGCUCCAACAUUUGGGGAAUGCAACCUUUCGACAGACAUUUGCUGAAUGGAUAGGAGACUCCUGAAAGCAGAAUUCUGCACAUUCUGUGGACCAGCCCUGACUACGGAGAGCAGGUGUUAGCCAGUAUCCAUGCGCAGUGCCUCUUAGUCUUACCUGUCUGCUGCCUUACGCAAGCAUGGAGCUUAAUAUGCUAGCUGUGUUCUCCUAACCUCAGAUAUCUGUAAAACCAGCCACAGUAAGAUAACAUGGUAGAGCACAAAAUGCUUAGAAGAGAUUUAUUUGAAGCAAUGCUUCCCAGAAGUUUUUCAAUGCAGCUUAUGGCGAGAAACACAUUUUACAUCUCUACUCAGUACGCAGCCACUCAUACUCAACUGAAACAUCUUCUGAAACAAUAUUUCACUUCACUCUCUGCAAUACAGAAAAUACCAGAUCGUAUUGUAUGUUAUUUCAUUGUUUUAAAAUCCUGAGCCUAGCUUGCUAAUAGAUUACAACUCAGUUUGAAAAGCACAGGCUAAGGGGCUUCAAAUAGGGGUGACACAUUGAACACACACAUUUAUCACCUCUCCCUUCACAGAUCUCAUUAAAAUGAUAAUAAAGGAACAAAAUGGCAGAAAUCCACAAGGACAAACAGCAAACAAGAGGGACAUCAGCAGAUAGGCAACCUCAACAAGUAUAUCACAAUGAGUGACACACCCCCUAUAACAGCCAAUUUUGAUGGUCCUCCCAUAGCUCUUGCCUUAUUCUUUGUAAUAGGAUUCAGAUUGUUUAAAAUCCCCAUAUUCUACCGCAAAGUCAUGUUAUCAGGAAAGACCAACCCUAACCCCAGUUCCAUGGAGUAAAGAUUAAUUAAUCUA
rnacentral:lncRNA from 10 species